UAUUAAAAUUUUCAUCCAUUUCUACUAUUAAAAACUGGCUUGACUGACAGAAUAACCAGAUAGUUAAACAUAGCGUGCCACGUGUACUUUAUGCUAAAAUACAAGGGCCAGUUUUUUAAUAAUAAAAUUAGAUGAAAUCUUUUUAACA
rfam:Gossypium raimondii Chr04_contig_40, whole genome shotgun sequence.